rnacentral:rRNA from 1 species
GGGGAUGGGCCCGCGGCCUAUCAGCUCGUUGGUGAGGUAACGGCUCACCAAGGCAACGACGGGUAGCUGGUCUGAGAGGACGACCAGCCACACUGGGACUGCGACACGGCCCAGACUCCUACGGGAGGCAGCAGUGGGGAAUCUUGCGCAAUGGGCGAAAGCCUGACGCAGCGACGCCGCGUGGGGGAUGAAGGCCCUCGGGUUGUAAACCCCUUUCGGCAGGGACGAAGCGAAAGUGACGGUACCUGCAGAAGAAGCCUCGGCUAACUACGUGCCAGCAGCCGCGGUAAGACGUAGGAGGCGAGCGUUGUCCGGAUUCAUUGGGCGUAAAGAGCGCGCAGGCGGCUUGGUAAGUCGGAUGUGAAAUCCCAGGGCUCAACCCUGGACGUGCAUCCGAUACUGCCCGGCUAGAGGUAGGUAGGGGAGAUCGGAAUUCCUGGUGUAGCGGUGAAAUGCGCAGAUAUCAGGAGGAACACCGGUGGCGAAGGCGGAUCUCUGGGCCUUACCUGACGCUCAGGCGCGAAAGCUAGGGGAGCGAACAGGAUUAGAUACCCUGGUAGUCCUAGCUGUAAACGUUGGGUGCUAGGUGUGGGCGGACAUCGACCCCGUCCGUGCCGAAGCUAACGCAUUAAGCACCCCGCCUGGGGAGUACGGCCGCAAGGCUAAAACUCAAAGGAAUUGACGGGGCCCCGCACAAGCGGCGGAGCAUGCGGCUUAAUUCGAUGCGACGCGAAGAACCUUACCUGGGCUUGACAUGCAGGGUGGAACCCGUGAAAGCGGGCGCUCUUCGGAGCCUGCACAGGUGGUGCAUGGCUGUCGUCAGCUCGUGCCGUGAGGUGUUGCCUUAAGUGGCGCAACGAGCGCAACCCCUGUCCUUAGUUGCCAGCGGGUCAUGCCGGGAACUCUAGGGAGACUGCC